CCUACGGGUGGCAGCAGUGAGGAAUAUUGGUCAAUGGCCGUAAGGCUGAACCAGCCAAGUCGCGUGAAGGAAGAAGGAUCUAUGGUUUGUAAACUUCUUUUAUAGGGGAAUAAAGGUAUCCACGUGUGGAUAUUUGCAUGUACCCUAUGAAUAAGCAUCGGCUAACUCCGUGCCAUCAGCCGCGGUCAUACGGAGGAUGCGAGCGUUAUCCGGAUUUAUUGGGUUUAAUGGGUGCGUAGGUUGUUUUUUAAGUCAGCGGUGAAAGGUUGUGGCUCAACCAUAAAAUUGCCGUUGAAACUGGAAGACUUGAGUGUGUUUGAGGUAGGCGGAAUGCGUGGUGUAGCGGUGAAAUGCAUAGAUAUCACGCAGAACUCCGAUUGCGAAGGCAGCUUACGAAGCCAUAACUGACACUGAAGCACGAAAGCGUGGGGAUCAAACAGGAUUAGAUACCCGAGUAGUC
rnacentral:rRNA from 1 species